AGAUGGGCAUGCGUGUCAUUAGCUAGUUGGUGAGGUAACGGCUCACCAAGGCCACGAUGACUAGGGGGUCUGAGAGGAUGAUCCCCCACACUGGUACUGAGACACGGACCAGACUCCUACGGGAGGCAGCAGUGAGGAAUAUUGGGCAAUGGACGCAAGUCUGACCCAGCCAUGCCGCGUGCAGGAUGACUGCCCUAUGGGUUGUAAACUGCUUUUGUUUGGGAAGAAACCCCCGAUCGUGAUCGGGGCUGACGGUACCAUACGAAUAAGCAUCGGCUAACUCCGUGCCAGCAGCCGCGGUAAUACGGAGGAUGCAAGCGUUAUCCGGAUUCAUUGGGUUUAAAGGGUGCGCAGGCGGAGUAUUAAGUCAGUGGUGAAAUCCUGCAGCUUAACUGUAGAACUGCCAUUGAUACUGAUAUUCUUGAAUAUAGUUGAGGUGGGCGGAAUGUGUAAUGUAGCGGUGAAAUGCUUAGAUAUUACACAGAACUCCAAUUGCGAAGGCAGCUCACUAAACUAAUAUUGACGCUGAGGCACGAAAGCGUGGGUAGCAAACAGGAUUAGAUACCCUGGUAGUCCACGCUGUAAACUAUGAUCACUCGCUGUUGGCAAUACAUCGUCAGCGGCUGAGCGAAAGCAUUAAGUGAUCCACCUGGGGAGUACGGUCGCAAGAUUGAAACUCAAAGGAAUUGACGGGGGCCCGCACAAGCGGAGGAACAUGUGGUUUAAUUCGAUGAUACGCGAGGAACCUUACCUGGGCUUAAAUGCAGAGCGACGUCCGCCGAAAGGUGGAUUCCUUCGGGCGAUCUGCAAGGUGCUGCAUGGUUGUCGUCAGCUCGUGCCGUGAGGUGUCGGGUUAAGUCCCAUAACGAGCGCAACCCUUAUCGUUAGUUGCCAGCGGGUAAUGCCGGGGACUCUAACGAAACUGCCGGUGUAAACCGUGAGGAAGGUGGGGAUGACGUCAAAUCAGCACGGCCCUUAUGUCCAGGGCUACACACGUGUUACAAUGGUCGGUACAGAGGGCAGCUACCACGCAAGUGGAUGCUAAUCUCGAAAACCGGUCUCAGUUCGGAUUGAAGUCUGCAACUCGACUUCAUGAAGCUGGAUUCGCUAGUAAUCGCGCAUCAGCCAUGGCGCGGUGAUACGUUCCCGGGCAUUGUACACACCGCCCGUCAAGCCGUGGAAGCUUGGGGUACCUGAAGUCCGUAACCG
rnacentral:rRNA from 1 species